rnacentral:misc_RNA from 1 species
GAGUGACACUGUAAAUGAGAUGGAUGUGAGGAAAUUAACAAAGACUUGUUAGCAAAUAAAAUGAACAAAAAAAUCAGAACAUUUUAAAGGAUAUAUAUAACAAAACCAUAACUGACUGACUGGCCAACAAUUUCAGUUUAUUGGAUCAGAUUUCACUGGGUUGGGAAGUUAUGCUAUUUUUUUAACAGCCUACAGGAGAUCACAUGCACUAAUGGUUUA